AGAGGGAAACUUCUCUUUAGGCUGGGGAGUUUGGUUAGCAUCUCAGGGCCCAGAACUGAGUCCUCGGUGAACCCGGCCGCGCCGGGACGAUGGAGAAGUCCCUGGGAACCUCGUUUCUGAUUUUGGGGCUUCAGCUGGGCUGGGCGAGGGGUCUGGACAAGGUGGAGCAGAUACCUCCGUUCCUGAGAAUCCAGGAGGGAGAGAACGGCACCAUGAACUGCAGCUUCACAAACAGUGCUAUUGAAACCUUACAGUGGUACCGGCAGGACCCAGGGAAAAGCCCUGCCUUCCUGUUUUUAAUCCGUUCAAACAAGAAGAGACAAACCAAUGGAAGAUUCACAACCACACUCGAGAAAGAUGACAAACGCGGCUCCCUUUUCAUCAGUGACUCCCAGCCCGGAGACUCAGCCACCUACCUCUGUGCCAUGGAGACACAGUGAUCUCCAGACACCUGCAACCUGUGCAGAAACCUGCUUCUGGAGUUCAAGCAUAAACAUUCUCUCCAGGUCCUGCUUCUCUUCUUCAGCCAGUUCACACAAAAGGCAUUAUCUCUUCCCAAGACCAACACCUCUCCCCUCU